UGUGCCAAGCCAAAUUAGGCAAUCCAAACCACGUGACCUCUGGUUGGCACACAAACUAACAAAGAGGUUAUGUUUGUAUCUAUUUUUCAAUAAUUUUUCAUUGUUUAUCGUCGUAUUUUGGAUUCAUUUGGAUUUCGUUUCCUGUUUUUGCGAACUUUAUAAACUUUACCACAAUGCAAACUGAUUAUUUAAGGAAAUUAUUAUUGGAAACUCCAGAUGUUGCGAGAAAGAUAUUUAUUGAAGCUGAAAAUAAUUGGGGAUUUAGAUCCAUACGCAAUUCAGUCAGAAUUGGAUUUUACAGUAAAGUGCAGUCCAUCAAGUUACUAUUAUAGAUAUUUAUACAUAUACAUAUCUGGUGGAGUCUGAUAUGUCACAGUUGCUACUCUAAGCAGCAGAUGAAAGCAUACAAAAGCCUUCAGGCACAUAAAUAUUUUACAGCUGGAUUUGUUUUGAAUGGAGUAAAAAUUGUUAAUGAUUUCCUGAUUUCCAUAUUAUUGUCGGAAAGGUGAAUAUUUCCAAAAAUCUAAUGCUAAAUGACUAAAUGCUUGGGUGGGGUGAUAGCCAGUUCUGAUGACAUAGCAAAUUCACAUUGUAUGCGUAUGGCCGGUAAUAGUGAAGUCUGCAGCCAUAUUGCAGCAAUCCUAUUUUUAGCUUAGUAUGCUCAGGGCAAGACAGACGAAGAAGAACCCAAUGUAUGUACAUAUGUUACAGCUACAUGGUUUGGAGAUAGCAACAUAUGCAUUCUCUGAUGAAAAACUAAUGAAUUUUGAAACUGUUCGGUCAGAGUGCUUGUUGCACUCACUAAACGAAUUGAAAUAUAAGAUGGCUUUGGCAUUGUGUUUUAGUGAUAUGAAAAUGGUUAUUCAUUUUUAAUUAUAAUGUACUUCUUCAUCAUGAGUAAUUAUGUAUUGGUCUUUUAAAUGUGUAUUUAUUUUUGUAAUUAGUAUCAACUUGUAAUGAUAAUAUACAUUUAUCGUUUAAGGUAUGACUAUGUUUUGACUCUAAAAUAAAUGUUUUAAAAAUCAAA